rnacentral:rRNA from 1 species
UACGUAGGGUGCAAGCGUUGUCCGGAAUUAUUGGGCGUAAAGAGCUCGUAGGCGGCUUGUCGCGUCGGCUGUGAAAACCUGGGGCUCAACCCCGGGCCUGCAGCCGAUACGGGCAAGCUAGAAUUCGGUAGGGGAGAAUGGAAUUCCCGGUGUAGCGGUGAAAUGCGCAGAUAUCGGGAGGAGCACCGGUGGCGAAGGCGGUUCUCUGGGCCUUACCUGACGCUGAGGAGCGAAAGCGUGGGGAGCGAACAGG